rnacentral:rRNA from 1 species
AUGAACGCUGGCGGCGUGCCUAAUCCAUGCCAGUCGCGCGAACAGACGAGGAGCUUGCUCCUCUGACGUUAGCGGCGGACGGGUGAGUAACACGUGGAUAACCUACCUAUAAGACUGGGAUAACUUCGGGAAACCGGAGCUAAUACCGGAUAAUAUAUUGAACCGCAUGGUUCAAUAGUGAAAGACGGUUUUGCUGUUACUUAUAGAUGGAUCCGCGCCGCAUUAGCUAGUUGGUAAGGUAACGGCUUACCAAGGCAACGAUGCGUAGCCGACCUGAGAGGGUGAUCGGCCACACUGGAACUGAGACACGGUCCAGACUCCUACGGGAGGCAGCAGUAGGGAAUCUUCCGCAAUGGGCGAAAGCCUGACGGAGCAACGCCGCGUGAGUGAUGAAGGUCUUCGGAUCGUAAAACUCUGUUAUUAGGGAAGAACAAAUGUGUAAGUAACUAUGCACGUCUUGACGGUACCUAAUCAGAAAGCCACGGCUAACUACGUG